rnacentral:rRNA from 1 species
CCUACGGGCGGCUGCAGUGGGGAAUAUUGCGCAAUGGGCGAAAGCCUGACGCAGCAACGCCGCGUGAGGGAUGACGGCCUUCGGGUUGUAAACCUCUUUCAGCAGGGAAGAAGCGAAAGUGACGGUACCUGCAGAAGAAGCACCGGCUAACUACGUGCCAGCAGCCGCGGUAAUACGUAGGGUGCAAGCGUUGUCCGGAUUUAUUGGGCGUAAAGAGCUCGUAGGCGGUUAGUCACGUCGGAUGUGAAAACCCGGAGCUUAACUCCGGGCCUGCAUUCGAUACGGGCUGACUAGAGUGUUGUAGGGGAGACUGGAACUCCUGGUGUAGCGGUGAAAUGCGCAGAUAUCAGGAAGAACACCGGUGGCGAAGGCGGGUCUCUGGGCAACUACUGACGCUGAGGAGCGAAAGCGUGGGGAGCAAACAGGAUUAGAUACCCCAGUAGUC